rfam:Camelus ferus unplaced genomic scaffold scaffold1107, whole genome shotgun sequence.
GAGGGUAUAGCUCAAGUGGUAGAGCGCAUGCCUACCGUGCAUGAGGCUCUGGGUUCAAUCCCCAGUACCUUCA